rnacentral:rRNA from 1 species
CCUACGGGAGGCUGCAGUGGGGAAUAUUGGACAAUGGGCGAAAGCCUGAUCCAGCCAUGCCGCGUGUGUGAAGAAGGCCUUCGGGUUGUAAAGCACUUUCAGUGGGGAAGAAAGCCUUGGGGCUAAUACCCUCGAGGAAGGACAUCACCCACAGAAGAAGCACCGGCUAACUCCGUGCCAGCAGCCGCGGUAAUACGGAGGGUGCGAGCGUUAAUCGGAAUUACUGGGCGUAAAGCGCGCGUAGGCGGUCUGAUAAGCCGGUUGUGAAAGCCCCGGGCUCAACCUGGGAACGGCAUCCGGAACUGUCAAGCUAGAGUGCAGGAGAGGAAGGUAGAAUUCCCGGUGUAGCGGUGACAUGCGUAGAGAUCGGGAGGAAUACCAGUGGCGAAGGCGGUCUUCUGGACUGACACUGACGCUGAGGUGCGAAAGCGUGGGUAGCAAACAGGAUUAGAUACCCGGGUAGUC